rnacentral:lncRNA from 1 species
CAUUAUAAAGGUGGGUCUUCUUCGGCACGGGUCUUCCUCUUCCUCCAUUGCCGCCGGAGAGAAAGAAAGCCAUCGGACCAUCGUCGGGGCCGAGGUAAGGACUCCCAGCUUUCCUCCCUUCCUUCCGUGAUGUUUAGCCAUGAUUUAUUGUGGUUUUUGAGCCGGUCAAUCGCCGAAAAUUGGGUUCAAAAUGGGAGCUCUGUCCGGCCCGAGAACACUCGCCGCCGGCCGUGUUCGCCGCUGCCAGCCGCGGGGGUGGUUGGCUUUGCUCCGCCACCUCCUGCCGCUGCCAAGGCCGGCCACCGUGGCCGCCUUUGGGCUCGACCGAGGAGGGAAGAAGAAGAAGAAGGGGGGGGCCACGGGCCCUCUGUUUUGUCAAAGAAGAAAAGAAGAGGCGAGUCGGGAGAAGAGGGAAAGAAAAGAAGAAAAAGGGAAGGAGAAGAAGAAAAAGAAAAGAAGAAAAGAAAAGAAAAGAAAAGAAAGAAAAAGAAAAGAAAGAAAAAAAAAUAAAAUAAAAGGAGGAGGGUGGUUUACGGGUAUGAAUCCGAAUCUGAACCCGAACCCGAGGUGCUAGGCACUCCUGCAGGGUCGGCCAUGGGAAAAUAUUAAAUUUAAGUUUUUAUAUAUAUUGUGAUUAAUUUUAAAAGAAAAUAUGAUUUUUGGACCUUAGGUCCUGCGAGGAAUUUGUGAGAUUAAUUGGAUUUGUUGUGGAUCGCGUUCAAGGUAAGUAACGAACUGCCUUCUCUAGACUCUUCAUUUAUAUAAUAUUAUUUUUGCAUCGAAUAAAUUGUUAAUGAAUUUAUAUGGGAUUUAUGAAUUUUACGAGAUGAUGCUUUGAAUGAAAAAUGGAUAUGUGAAUUGGAAUAAUAUUUUUUGGACUAUUGUUAUAUUACUGUUCUUGCAUUGUAUAUGCAUAUUUAGAUUGGAUUAUGAUAUAUCUAUUAUGUUACAAAAGAAUUUUGAUGUGCAUCAGAUUUAGAACUCUCAGCCUGGCUAUGUUCUGGACCCUGCCAAUAGGGGGUUAUGCAUUGGCAAUUCUGGCCCCACCACAGGGUAUAAGUGUGGUAUUCUGGCCCACUCCGCAGGGUAUAAGUGCGGUUCUAUUUCUGGCCUAGCCACAGGGUAUAAGUGUGGUCGUAGCUAAAGGCUGAUGAGAUGAAUAUGAUUUGUUUCGAAUCAGAUUUAUGAUUAUGUAUAUAGAUAUUUGAAAAAUACGAAUUUUAAUGACUUUGUGCUUGAAAAGGAAUUGAUUAUGUUAUUAUGUUGAUUCAUCGUAAUUUGUAUUUAUAUUUU